CCAAAGAUAUUCUGAGUACAACCGUGGAACAACAGAGCCACUUCAGGUAAAGUUGUUACCUCAGUCGCAAAAUAGCAGCCUUUUCAUAACAAUUCUUUUCCUCGAAGACCUGUUUCGGUCGAAUGGUCGAUGCAUCUCACGCUGAUAUGAACAACUCUGUGUUUGGUACUCAGAUCUGAGAUCAGAUUCAGAACAAGUGAACUGCUCAUAAGUCAUAAGAGUGAGUUGUGAUUUUUCGUUGCUGUUCUGUUGUUCGUUAUUGUGUGCAAAUUGUAAUUUGGGGUAGCAGUGAAUAAUGUCAGAUAAAAGCAAA